rnacentral:lncRNA from 1 species
UGAAACUGCUGUACUUCAGCAAGUGGCAAAAGGAAACUCAUUUUCCUUGGAAGAAGUAGAUUCUUCUGAAGAUACAAUUCAGGAUGUUAACAAAGCUCAUGAAGAACACAGCGUGGAUUUAAUGGUUAAUAAGCUAUCAAAAGACUGCCUUAAUUCCUCAGAAGAUACAGCUCAAGAGGAAAAGGGCACCGUUGCGCCUGAUUCACUGCUCUUGGAUAAUUCAAACCUGCUUUCUUCGGAGAAAGAAGUGAUGGAAGAUAUAGGGGGAGGGGAAAUGCAUUCUUUACUAGAAAUCUCUUCACAAAAAAUGUUUCACAAUAUUAAUACAUCUCAGAAAGUACUUCACUUGGGGAGUUCAUCACAGCAUGAUGAGAAGGAGAAAAUUUUAAGCACAAACUAUGCUACAGCAAUCAGUAAAAAUGAAAAUGCAGAGUUUCCUGGUGUAGCUGGUUAUCAGCGUGAGCCCAGAGAAAAUCAGGGACACAGGACUUCUGAAGAGUGCUGUGUAGACCAGCUGGGCAGCACUGUUUCCAAGAAUGCUUCAGCCCUCUCAGAAGGCCUGAACAAGUCUCCAUGGGAAGAUCCACAUUAUAGUAAGGAGUUUCUAAAUUAUAAUAGGAACUCCGGCACCUCUGAGUAUUCGCCUGGUCUCCUGAAUCAUCCAGCAUCAUCUGCUGAUGUUUUGAUUGCCAGCAAUGGGGACAAAGGUAAAAAUGAUGCUGUUCUCUCUGAAGAAACAAAAUACUUUGAAAGUGAAUCAACUGAUUUAAGUGUAUCUGUAACUUUUCCUGGUGUUUCUGAAAAAGGAGAUGAAAGGAAAAAUAAUUCUGCGGUUGCAGAGGCCACAUAUGCUCAGAAUAAUAAACUCCCUGAAAAAGUUGCAGGAACAGAUCAAAAGGAGAAUAUAGUUCAAGGUUCUUUCCAGAGUUGCAGUGACAUAAAAGAAAAUAAAAUUCAUGAGUACUCAGAACACUACAGUAACACUUCUAGUGUGACUGUACCAGAAUUGGGCUUGCUUACUUUUCAGAGUCGAGGACAGACUGGCAGUAAAGAAUCAAAGUCUCUUCCAUCCUACUUUGCAGAAGGUACUCCAACUGAUACACCAUUUCAAAGCUCCAAGAACUUCAGUGCUUUUGACACUUCUUGUUUACUUGAUGACUCAAAAUCUCUAAUAUUUAGUCAGCUUGAGGACUCACUCCAGAACACGUUUUUGACUGAGCAGGUGUCCUCUAGUUCUUCAGGUGUGUGCUCUGUAAAAGAAGGAGAUUUUCCUCAAGCAUUUUCAAGUGUCAAUCACCCAUCCUUAGCACCA